CCCAGACUCCUACGGGAGGCAGCAGUGGGGAAUAUUGCACAAUGGGGGGAACCCUGAUGCAGCGACGCCGCGUGGGUGAAGGAGUACUUCGGUACGUAAAGCCCUAUCAGCAGGAAAGAAAAUGACGGUACCUGACUAAGAAGCCCCGGCUAACUACGUGCCAGCAGCCGCGGUAAUACGUAGGGGGCAAGCGUUAUCCGGAUUUACUGGGUGUAAAGGGAGCGUAGACGGCAGUGCAAGUCCGGAGUGAAAGCCCGGGGCUCAACCCUGGGACUGCUCUGGAAACUGUAAAGCUGGAGUGCGGGAGAGGCAGGCGGAAUUCCUGGUGUAGCGGUGAAAUGCGUAGAUAUCAGGAGGAACACCGGCGGCGAAGGCGGCCUGCUGGACCGUAACUGACGUUGAGGCUCGAAAGCGUGGGGAGCAAACAGGAUUAGAUACCCGCGUA
rnacentral:rRNA from 1 species